UUCGCGGGUGAUGCGAACAUAGGUUUCCGAAUUCACCUGGCCGAGCAGUUCGGCUUCAAGCGAGGCAUGACGCGCCAGCAACGCAUCGAGUUUGAUUUCGGGCAGUGUGGUCAUAGGUCUCGAUCGGUCGGGAUGAAUUCAGCGGCGGGCUUCGGAACUGUCCAGAAGCGUCGCUACAACGAAAGCCCUUCGGCUUCGGCGAAUUCCAUCAGCUUACUGCGGAUCGACACGCUCCCGGCCGGCGCGU
rnacentral:misc_RNA from 1 species